GACGAACGCUGGCGGCGUGCUUAGCACAUGCCAGUCGAACGGAAAGGCCCUGCUUUUGUGGGGUGCUCGAGUGGCGAACGGGUGAGUAACACGUGAGUAACCUGCCCUUGACUUUGGGAUAACUUCAGGAAACUGGGGCUAAUACCGGAUAGGAGCUCCUGCUGCAUGGUGGGGGUUGGAAAGUUUCGGCGGUUGGGGAUGGACUCGCGGCUUAUCAGCUUGUUGGUGAGGUAGUGGCUUACCAAGGCUUUGACGGGUAGCCGGCCUGAGAGGGUGACCGGCCACAUUGGGACUGAGAUACGGCCCAGACUCCUACGGGAGGCAGCAGUGGGGAAUAUUGCACAAUGGGCGGAAGCCUGAUGCAGCAACGCCGCGUGCGGGAUGACGGCCUUCGGGUUGUAAACCGCUUUCGCCUGUGACGAAGCGUGAGUGACGGUAAUGGGUAAAGAAGCACCGGCUAACUACGUG
rnacentral:rRNA from 1 species